rnacentral:rRNA from 1 species
GUAGGGAAUAUUGGGCAAUGGAGGCAACUCUGACCCAGCCAUGCCGCGUGCAGGAAGACGGUCCUCUGGAUUGUAAACUGCUUUUGAAUGGGAAGAACACUACCCUUGCGAGGGUAUUUGACGGUACUAUUAGAAUAAGCACCGGCUAACUCCGUGCCAGCAGCCGCGGUAAUACGGAGGGUGCAAGCGUUAUCCGGAAUCACUGGGUGUAAAGGGUACGUAGGCGGUUAAUUAAGUCAGUAGUGAAAGACUGUCGCUCAAGGACGGAUGUGCUAUUGAUACUGGUUAACUUGAAUCAGGUUAGAGUUGGCGGAAUGGGUAAUGUAGCGGUGAAAUGCUUAGAUAUGACUUGGAACACCGAUAGCGAAGGCAGCUGACUGAGCCUUGAUUGACGCUGAGGUACGAAAGUGUGGGUAGCGAACAGGAUUAGAAACCCUUGUAGUCC